rnacentral:rRNA from 1 species
UACAUGGGGUGCAAACGUUGCUCGGAAUCAUUGGGCGUAAAGCGCGCGUAGGCGGUUACUUAAGUUGGAUGUGAAAGCCCUCGGCUUAACUGAGGAAGUGCAUCCAAAACUGAGUAGCUAGAGUACGAAAGAGGGUCGCGGAAUUCCCGGUGUAGAGGUGAAAUUCGUAGAUAUCGGGAGGAACACCGGUGGCGAAGGCGGCCA